UCAGAGCAUGGCCUGAGCUCCUCCGCUGCUCCUUUGUUUACACUGAUGGUUUCCAGAUGCUAGUCGGUGACUGGAGCUCUGCAGAACACUGGGGAGCGGCCCAGCAGUUUAGAGGCAGCUUGGACUAAGGCAACUCUAUCUUUAACGCUUGAAAAACAUACUGCUGCUCUUAUAAUGACUCUGCAAUUGUUUCCAAAGGCCUCCCACUGAUGAGAUUAUUUUCCCAAACAGAGGUGCAUUGUGCCUGAUUGAGGCCAAACGUAUCCUUCAGUCGGCGCACCUGUUCCUUCCAUCACUCUCGGCCACGGCCACUUUUCCUUACAUGCAUUAUAAGGAGACAGCUGCACCAGCAAAAGAGCUGACAAGAGAGAGGGAGGGAGGUGAGAAAGACUGGCAAAAAAGUGAGAGAGAAAGAGAGAGAGGGAGAGACGAAUGACCAGAAAACAGUGGCUGUAUUUAGAGUUGCAGUGCAUGGUGGGAUUGAUAAACAGUCCCCAUAAUGCACCUGGUUGAGGUUCUGGCAUCAAGAUGCAGCUGUUUAUCCCAAUGCCGGAAACGGGCAUU